CCCGUUCUAGCAUUGGAACCACUUCUAGGAAC
rnacentral:piRNA from 1 species